CUUUAGUGUCUCAGGAUGGCGUAUGCCUAAUCCAGUUGGAGUUGGGUCUAAUAGAAAGGUUCACAGAAGAUUAAGUUUAAUGCACUGUAAUAGGUAACUGAGCUUUUGCCAGUAUGAAUUUUAUAAAUGUGACUCUCAGUAAGGACCAGAAAAUUCGGUUUACAAGCAUCUUGAAGUGUUUCCUUAUGGACUUUUGCAUCUUUUCUUUUAUGCGGAAAUCUCCAAAGAGACCAUAUGAGUGUUGGAAAUACCAAGUGAAGAGUCAGAGAAGGCAGCGAGAGAAAGAGACUUUGAAGCCUGGUAUUUUGAAACUGUUGUUUCAAGAGGCCGAUGGUGAGAUUAAAUUGAAUUGAUUUAUACAAAAAUUGGAUAUGGAGCAUCAAGUAAAAUGUCAGAGGCAAAGGAAGAAUUACAAAAUCUGUAAGAGCAAUAAUUAUACAAAAGAAUAAUAAUGGUUUUCACAGCAAGGAGCUAAGUGUGUGUGACUUUAGCUUAUUUACCUCUGUGGCAGGGCAGAAAUUAAGGGCCAAUGAAGGAAGUGUACCACCCUAUGUUAUAUCUGAAAGCCUAAAAAACCUGGUGCUACCAGAACUUUGCUGAGCAAAGAAGCCAACAUAAAUAAUGAUAACGUAACCUGAAUGCAUUUAGUUUUACGCUUUUCAUAGCAUUUUCACUUUUACAUUUUGAAUUAAUAUUCUCUAUUAUUUUGAAACAUGGGUAAUGUAGGUCUCCCAUUUCUUUCUUCUGUUUUUUUUUUUUCUUUCUUUUUUUUCUUUUUUGAGACGACAUCUUGCUCUGUCUCCAGGCUGGAGUGCAAUGGUGCAAUCUCGGCUCACUGCAACCUCCGCCUUCCGGGUUCAAGCGUUUCUCCUGCCUCAGUCUCCCAAGUAGCUGGGGCUACAGGCAUGUGCCACCACGUCCAGCUAAUUUUUUGUAUUUUUAGCAGAGACGUGGUUUCCCUACGUUAGCUAGGAUGGUCUCGACCUCCUGACCUCGUGAUCUGCCCGCCUCGGCCUCCCAAAGUGCUGGGAUUACAGGCGUGAGUUACUGUGCCCAGCCAGGUCUUCCAUUUCCACAGAUGAAAAUAUUAACGUAGAGAAGAGUCACAGAAAUAAGUGUAAUUUUUUUCCCCCUUGACUAAUGCAAAUGCGUAACUGUGUAACUCAGUCUGCAUUCACUUUCUGUUCAGGAAUUUGAACUUUAUACCUCAGGCAAUGGGGAAACACAGAAGAUGUCUGAACAGAGACAUAUCAGGAUCAGAACUGUGUUAUGCAGGGGAUACCCAGAAUGGUUUGAAGGAGUUGGGCAUGAUCCCUGGGAGGAAGAAGAGACUGCACUAGAAAGGGGUACUGGUUGAAAAAUAAAGGGUGAGGCCAGGCACUGUGGCUCAAGCCUGUAGUACCAGAGCUUUGGGAGGCUGAGGCAGGAGGAUGCCUGGAGGCCAGGAGUUCAAGACCACCCUGGGCAACAUAGCAAGACCCCAUAUCUACAAAGAAAUUAAAAAAUUAGCUUGGUGUGGUUGUAUGUACUUGUAGUCCUAGAUACUCAGGAUGUUUGGUUGAGCUCAGGAGUUUGAGACCACAGUGAGUUAUGAUCGCACCACUGCACUCCAGCCUGGGCCACAGGCUGUGACUUUAUCUCAAAAAAACAAAACAAAACAAAAACAGAUGCUUUUGAAAAGACACUGAAUGAGAACUCUCCAAUGUGCUAGAGAUGAGAAGAUAGGAAAAACACUUGGGAGAAGGAGGGACAUAGAUUGGAAAUGUGGGCAGAGCUCAUUCUGGGUUGCCGAAAAAACCAUAGGCAUUGUGUUGUUGUUUGUUGUUUGAGAGAGUCUUACUCUGUCGCCCAGGCUGGAGUGCAGUGGCUCAAUCUCAGCUAACUGCAACCACCACCUACAAGGUUCAGGCGAUUCUCCUGCCUCAGACUCCUGAGUAGCUGCGAUUACCAGCAUCCGCCACUGCACCUGGCUAAUUUUUGUAUUUUUUUUUCAGUAGAGAUGAGGUUUCACUAUGUUGGUUGGGCUGGUCUCAAACUCCUGACUUCAAAUGAUCCACCUGCCUUGGCCUCCCAAAAUGCUGGGUUUACAGGCGUGAGCCACCAUGCCCAGCCACCACUGGCAUUAUGGAGUCUCACUCUGUCACCCGGGCUGGAGUGCAGGGGCAGGAUCUCAGCUCACUGCAACCUCCACCUCCCGGGUCCAAACAGUUCUCCUGCCUCAGCCUUCUGAGUAGCUGGGACUACAGGUACAUGCCACCAUGCCUGGCUAAUUUUUGUAUUAUUAGUAGAGAUGGGGUUUCCCCAUAUUGGCCAGGCUAGUCUCGAACUCCUGACCUUGUGAUCCACCCGCCUCAGCCUCCCAAAGUGCUGGGAUUACAGUCAUGAGCUACUGCGCCCGGCCAAGUCUAACACUUUAAGAACGUUGAGUUCAGUGUUGCACAGGGCUUGUCAGUUAUGACAUUUGAAAACCUAGCGCAAUAUAAACAGAAUGAAAUUAUUCUAGAAUAUUCUAUUCUAUAUUAUUUCCUCUUUUUCCUCCCUUACUUCCUUCCUCCUUUCCUUUCUUCCUUCCUUCUUUUCUUCUGUCUGUCCAUCCUUCCUUUUCUUCCCGUGUUUCUUUGUGUCCUACCUUUCUUCCUUCCUUCCAAUGACAAGUUGUAACUUUUCAUUACACACUAAGCUUUCCUGUCAGGUAAACAAUUUCAUGCUUCCUGUUUCUCAUGUAUACAGCUUCCUUUUGAAGGAAGGUGACAGGCAGAGGAUUUGCAUGGUGAUCAGAAAUGGCUACUUAGAAGAACUGGCCAUUGCUUUGAUUUUAGUCACAAAUAUAAUUGUAUCUAUCUUUACAUUUUUCUGAUACUAUACGUAAAAAAUCAUAUUUUAGAAAAAGAAAUCACUGAGAAAAUCAAUCUGUUGGGCCCAUAGACUUGAAAAUAAGCCUCAACUCUCUGGACAAGAGGUGACAUUUUCAACAUUUGAGAAAUGAGAAUUGAACCAAGUAAACAGUGUAUAUUGCUUUAUGUUUUAUAUUGCUUUUCAGGAUUCCUGAAAAUCAACAAAUUAUGUCUGUUGUGGCUAAUGGUCGUGAAGGAGGAUAAUUGGUACAAGUUAGAAAUGGUACCCUGGGCCCCCUUUUUAAAACUUUCUCUGUUAUAUUACAGAAGGUGAUUAUUUAGAAGUGGAAGUUUAUCCAGUCAAUCACUCCCCAAGAGAACUGCCAGAGUUUUAGUUUCAUAUGACUUCACUAAUUUAAGUGUGAGACAAAAAUAUAGUGCAAUAUGACAAUAAUUUGAAAAACACCAAAUCAGUAGGUUUCAUAACCUCUGAGAGCUCCAGUUUCAUUUUUUUAACCCAGAAAAUAGUAGCUGCUCCAGGGUCUAGAGAAAUACAUUCUUAAUUGGUCUUCGGCAUUAUACUUAUUCCAGGUAAAUAAAUGCCAAAGGUGUGUUAGUUGAUAAUGUUGAAGGUCAUUAACUCUGACAAUUGCACCAUGUCCUCAAAAUUAUGUUUAUCUUGACUGGCUGUAUAUCUAAAAAUGUAGCCAAGCAGAUAGAGAACAGGUCUGGUCUUGAGAUUAAAUAGUGAAAAACAUUACAGCCUGUAAUAUGUAAAAAUCUAGGGACAAUCUAUGCUUACAGAGUACAAUCUUUGCAUUUUAUGGGUUUUAAAAUUUAUUUGCAGUUUUAAUAGCAUUCACAUUUAUAGCACAAGUAUUUUGAUUUCCACACUAAUAGUGAAAAUGCAAAAUAUGGUUUCUGAAGGUUUUCAGUAUUCUAGUUAAUAUUUUCCCAGAUAGAGGAAAAACAAGUUUAGUGAUAUUGAAAAGCUUAAGCCAGGUAACAGAGAGUGGCAAUGAGUAGAUGUCACUAUUCUAGCAAUUAGUUGUUCUUUCUGGGAAACAUAGGCAAGGAAAGGGAAAUUUUUUUUUUCUUAAGCUAUAUUGUUUUUUAAAAAAUUCUACCACUAGAAGAAGCAGCUUAGUCUUAUGCCAUUUUUAGUGUCCUUGAGGUCAGGGAUUCAAUUAUGAGGCUUAAUAUGCCAAAUCUUAAAUAUAUUUACUAAUGAUAGAAAUUGGUGGAGGACAAAAAAGGAAAGAACUAAUACUGAAUAUGCUUCCUGGCACUUUGAAAACAAGUGAUUAUUAUAGCAUUAUCUUAGAAUUGUUAUUAGUAUGUGAUAAGGUUUGGCUGUGUCCCCACCCAAAAUCUCAUCUUGAACUGUAAUCCCCAUAAUCCCCAUGUGUCAAGGGAGACACCAGGUGGAGGUAAUUGAAUCAUGGGGCAGUUCCCCCAUGCUGUUCUCAUGCUGGUGAGUUCUCACGAGAUCUGAUGGUUUUAUAGGCAUUUGGUAAUUCCUCCUGUUCCACCUUGUGAAGAAGUUUCCUUGCUUCCCCUUCACCUUCUGCCAUGAUUGUUUUCUGAGGCCUCCCCAGCUAUGCUGAACUGUGAGUCAAUUAAACCUCUUUCUUUUAUAAAAUUACCCAGCCUUGGACAGUUCUUUAUAGCAAUGUGAGAAUGGACUAAUACAGUAUCUGACAGAUAAGAAGAAACUAAGGCUUAGACAGGCUCAUGUAGCCUAUGUGUGGCAGAGCUAAGAUGUGAAGCCAAGGUGUCAUCCAUUACACUGUAGUGAGUGAGCGUCUGAUCACCCAGCACCCUGUGGCAAGACCCAUCUCAGUAUCUCCAUUGCUACUGUAAUUGAGUAUGGAGUGAAAAGUAAGGAUAUGUUCUAUAGCAAAUAUGUGGAGGAUACGAAGAGACCUAGGGGAUAAACAUUCCUUGACAUCCUAUGAAACCACCAAAGCUACAGUGCAUCUGUUCAGGAUUCUACAAAACAGACAAAAAGAUGAUUAAAUAAUUGAAGGGAAGAGGUUCUUAGACCAAUCUUUUGAGGCAACAGAUUGCUAUUCGGUAAGUUGUGGGCAUAAGGUAAGGCUUCAAACCCAGUACGGUUCUACUAUUAUUCUUUUAGUCCUUUAUAUAGUGUAGAUAUUUGUCUCCUCCAAAUGGCAUGUUGAAAUGUGAUUCCCAAUGCUGGAGGUGGGGCCUGGUGGGAGCUGUUAGGGUCAUGGGAGUGGAUCCCUCAGGGUGGCUUGGUGCCCUCCACAUGGUAAUAAGUUUUUGCUUUAUUGGUUCACAUGAGAGCUGGUUGUCUAAAAGAUGCUGGCGUUUCUUUAGCUCUCUCUCUCACCAUGUGACUGCCUGCUCCUUGUUUGCCUUCCACCAUGAGUAAAAGCCUCCUGAGGCCUCACCAGAAACUGAGCAGAUGCGAGUGCCAUGCUUGUGGUACAGUCUGCAGAACCAUAAGCCGAAAUAAACCUCUUCUUUAUAAAUUACCCAGUGUCAGGUAUUCCUUUACAGCAACACAUAUCAGACUAAUACAGUCCUUUAAUUCGAUAAAGCUUUGGGGCCAGAGAGGAAUUAAAAAUAUCCCUGGGGUAUAUUAAAUCUGCUCAGAAGAAAGCAAAGAACUAGAAUAGAGUUGAGGCACCAAAUAUUUUUAGUAGCAGAAGAGCUAAGGAGGAAGUGGAAACAAAAGGACUUCAAAGACAAAUUAACUUCACAUUUGUCCUUGGUAAAACGGGCUACCAGAUUAUUGUAGAGAGCAAAACAAGUGUGUUUGAAUGGUCUGCCUUUCCCAGUUGAUUUAAUAUGUGUUAUGGACAUACUUUUCCAGAUCUCUGGUUUGACAGGAAUGAAUACAUAUAAAAAUAUCAUCUUAUUAUUAUGUUAAAAUUCUUUGAGCAUGAGAAAUUAUGACCAAAACUGACAAAAUCAUGAGGUCCAUCAAUGUCUUGUAGGCUGAAAUGCAAAAACUAGGUAAAAGGUCCAAAUAUUACUGAUAGGUGACAGAAUCUCUUCAGCUACAGAAAAAUAAGUAGAGAAGGGAGGAAAAGAGAUAGUGUUGUUAUCAUGUUACAGAUCGUGUCUGACAUAGAGAACACAGACCCGCAACAUACACAUUUAGCACCUGGAUUAGAGGCAAGAUUCAUAUAUUCUGCAAAAUGGCUUAGUUCAGUCACUCAGUGAAUCAACACAUUGCCUUAAGACAUAGAACAGUUGGCAGAUGAAGCAAGCUCUUUGUUGCUGUCUUUGCCUGUAGCUAAGGGAGAUUACUCCUGGUAAUCUUUUCAACAAUGUGAGUAUAACAAAUUGCAUCUCCUUUUUUUUGCUGUAUUCUAAAGGUGAGAGAAGAUAUUCAACUUGAGGUCCAUCUUCUCUUCCUUCCUCGCUCAGCCUGCAAACACUUUCUGUGUAGUUUUCAGAUCAGGGCACUUAUGGAAAGUCCUGGGCAUCAUAAAAAAAUGUGCUGGACAAAGAAAUUGGGCCUCUUAGAAAAGAUCAGUGGUGAAAAGCAAACAAAUUAGCAGACAAAAUAUAAAUUUAGAUUCCUUCAGAUAGGCAAAGCAAUCUGUUUACAAUUUCUGCUUUUAUAUCACCUUUCUCUUUAAGUGUGUGUACAUUGUGUAUUUUAAUUGAAUGUUACAUGAAGGAAUUAACUCCUACCUUACCCCCUGCUGCUGAGGUGUACAGUUAAUUUUAAAUGACAUACCACUUCCUCAAAAUCACAGCUAGCUUUUGGCCCUAAAGUGCUACAACAGACAUUAAGAAAAGUAGAACUGGGUGAGGAAGAAGACAGGAGGUAGGAAUAUGUUAAUCUGUCAGCAGGAAGUUUUUGAAGAUGUCUGGAGUUAAAUGUAAGAGACGAAAAGUGUUAUGAACAAGACACAGAUACAAUAAAGGUAGGAAUAAGCAUUUGCAACAGGAGGCAUCUCCAAAAAGAAGGGGGUGUAAAUUCAAAAGUGCUAAAAUGCCUUCCCAACUGAAAAGAUGUCUACUGGCUUUUGCCAGAAAUUACAACGUUAGCUAUUCCAGCUCGGUGGGGUGGUUCCUUUCACUCUGCUAGAUCACAGGAUUUUGGAGUUGAAAGAAAUUAAAGGAAAUCUGCAUGAAGGUUUUGAAUGGUUUUGACUAUUCCUUGACACCUGAGAGACAGGCAUCCUUAUGAGUGAUGGUGGCUUCUUAUGGCAGCAAUUGAAGUGUGUGUGUGUGUGUGUGUGUGUGUGUGUGCAUGUGUGUACACAUUCGGAAGAGAAUAUAGAAGGCCUUAAAGGGGCGUUUCAAAAUGGCUGUGAUUUGGAGAUACGUGAUUUGAAAAUAUUCCCCAGGUACUGAAUGGUGAUUUUUGUCAUCAUCCCCUUAAGAAACAGUGAUUAGUAGUUUUCAAAUCUAUCAUGCAUCAGAGUCACAAGAAAGGCUUACUUAAACACCAGUUGCUGCCCUCCAUUCCUAGAGUUUCUGAUUCAGUAGGUUUCAGGUGGAGUCUGAGGAUUUACAUUUCUAUUAAGUUCACAGAGGAGGCUGAUUCUGCAGGGCUGAGAACUACUGAUGUAGUUCAGUUGGAUCCAAUUGCACCUUAUUUAUUUUCUCUCCACAUUUUACAGAUGAGGAAACUGAAGUCUCAACAUAGUAAGGGGCUCCAUGUGUUUUGACUCCAAUUCCAGGCUUCUUGAUGCCAAUCAAAGUGGUAUUUAGAAAGGAGACCUUUCUCAAGAGUGGCCCAGCAGGUGUGUCAAUCAUUCAUAGCUAACCAGCACGUGGGUCAGAUGUACUGCAGCCCAGAGACAUUGCCAUCCCAGAAUUUGAUAAAUGUCUUUUAUAUUGAUGUUUUUCACCACAAAUAGCUCUCUUUGGCAUGCUGAGAAGUUCGUUAUAUUAGCCAAUGUUUUCUCCAUUUUAAUCACUUAAAAUGAAGGUUUAUUUUUUCUCUUUAAAAAUAGUAUUUGUGCAUGUUGAAAAUAUAGUAGCAGUGUAAGGGGGAAAGUAAUAACCUUUAAUUUUACCACCUAGAAAUAAUCACAGUGACUAUUUUAAAGAUUUUGAGGUUAAUUUUUUGUUUAAUAGAGUUGUAUAGGGUUUUAAUUUUUUCCCCUCAGUACUCUUUAAAAAGCAGGUAUCAAUUCAUAGAUUCAUGUGAAUAUGUAAUUCAUAUACCAUACAAUUCACCCAUCUAACGUGUACAAUUCAGUGGCUUCUCAUGUACUCACAGAGUUGUGGAAGCAUUACCACAACCAAUUAAAACAUUUUUGUUAACCAAAAGAAGCCAUGUACUGUCAGGUUCACAACUACACCAAAUGUCAUGUUGAGGUCCGAAGGGAGUGGGUAGAUGAGCAGUAAGAACACUAGGGGGGUGCUAAGCAGGUGAAAGAUGAUUUUAUUCAGCAGCAACUCUCAUCAGCAGCUUUCUUACACUAGCUCUCUACACUGCUCGCCUUUAUCUUUGUGCCUGCUCCGGCUCUGUGGCUCCUGCCGCCCCCACUCCUGCAGCUGUAUGGCCGGCUCUCCCUUAGCUUCAGGGUCAGCAGCUUAACUCUUUCUCUCUUUGGGCACGAGCCAGCCCAGCUGUGUCCUGGCUCCCCUCUGUCCAUCUGCAAAGACAGACAGCUCUGAAUCUCUCUCUCUUUCUCUGGGUGCCCGUGCCUGCAGUGUCAGGCAUUAGCCACCACACCCAGGCAUAUGAUUUUAUAUACGUGAAACAUCCAGAA
rnacentral:lncRNA from 10 species